rnacentral:lncRNA from 1 species
GGCGGCUGCAGCCCGCGCCGCGCUAUCUCCCGGGGCACUCGUGGGCACGCGCGCCGGCUCCUCUGUCAGUCACCUGCCUGUCAGCCCCGCAGCCGGGCUGCACCGGCGGCGAGCGGCGGCGGCGGACGGAGCCGCGCGGGGAGGAGGAGACGGCGGCGGCGGUGCUGGUGGUGGUGGUGGUGGUGGCUGCGGCGGCGGCGGCGGCGGCGGGCGGGCGGGGGAGGGGGUGGGGGUGCAGGGGCGGCCCCGCAGGCUGAGGGGGGGCGCGCGGGCGGCGCAGCGGGGUCCCGGGCGGGGCGCAGCGGGCCGCGGGCUUCCAGGCGCGCUCCCCGCGCUACCCCAGUGCCAUGGUGCGCCCGAGGAGCCGCUCGGUUUAGAGCUGUGGGGCCGGCGGCGGAGGGAUACCCCGGCCGGGAGCCGCCUCACCGCUCCUCAAACUUCCUGACAUUUGAACUCAUUGGUGCGCCUCGUAUCCCUGCGCCGGGAUGAGCCGGCGACUCCACGUCAAAUAGUGCCGUCGCUGCCCACCCCCCCACCUCUCCAACCCUCCCGCCCCCCGGCGGGAGGGCUCCCCGCGGCCCCCCGGCUUGAGCUCCCUGCGCUGCGCUGGGCCCCCGAGUGCGGACCCGGGCGCCCCCGGCCAGGCCGAGCGCCCCGCGGGUCCCUCGCAGAAGUUUGGGUCGCCUUCGAAACAAAUCCUUCUGCCCCACCCCCUUGAAAAAUUGAUUUGGGAGUUGGGGAAUGAAAGCUUUCUUUCUUUCUUUUUUUUUUCUUCCCUCUUCUUGCCUUCUUUAUUAUUAAUAUUUUGUAAAGCUUCAGUGCUAAGAGGAGUGGCCCUGAGAGAGGACAGACUCUUCACGGACGGCGGGGAGAGCAGCGGCUCCACCAGGAGACGGCGCCGACCCGCAGUGGCCGCCCGAGGGAGACCCCGACCGUCGGCCGAGAUGGCAAGGAUCCCAGUUCUGUGGGCUCCCAGUCUUCUCUGCAUCAGACGCUUUUACAGCUCUGACAUCAUGAGUUCUCAUGAUACCCAUAGAGGGCAGAGACUGUGAUCUCGGAAACUGAUUUCAUCAGCCUAGGAUGACACUAACCAGGAUCUUGCUAGUUCUCAGCAUCAGUCUCUUCACUCAGGAGACCUUGUACCUUGCAGGGCCCUAUCCUUCGAGGUGUUCCAGGGAGACCCUGAGGGGUGUGGAACGUGCACCCACAGGUAAGUCCUGGUUGUCAUUUUAUUUUGAAAAGAAAACAUAGCAUUGAUUUACUUGCAGAUGACAUGAUCAUCUAUGUAGAAAAAUCCAGUGUCAUCUACAAAAAAUGCUGCUAUAACUAAUAAGUGAGUUUAGUAAGGUUGCAAGAUACUACGUCAAAAUACAAAAAUCAGGACUUCCCUGGUGGGCCAGUGGUUAAGAAUCCACCUGCCAUUGCAGGGCACAGGGGCUCGAUCCCUGGUCCCAGAAGAUCCCACAUGCCGAGGGGCAACUAAGACCAUGAGCUACGACUACUGAGCCUACGCUCUGCAACAACUGAAGGCCAUGCACUGCAACUAGAGAAAGCCCACUCGGAUCAAUGAAGACCCAGUGCAGUCAAAAAUAAAUAAAUAAAUAUAUAUUUUACA